AGACGAGGCGCCUUCGCUUCCCUAGCAACGAGCCCCGCCCUACCAAGGAACUGUGUUCCCCUGGCGGGAGGGGGGAACUGGAGGGCAGAUAAGGGAGCCCCAUGGGGGCGGGGGGGUAGAAAAGUCAAGGAUGUAACUGGGGGCAGCCAUUCUGGACUUGACUCUGAACAACAGGGAGAUGCAAAUCUGAAGGUUGAGGGCAAUUUGGGUGGAAGUGAUCAAGAAAUUAUAAAGUUCAUGAUUAUAAUGAAAGGAAGGAGUGAGAGUAUCAGAAUAAAGACUGUGGAAUUAAAAAAAACAAUUCUAGACCAAUCAGCCUAACUUUGAUUCCUGAUCCCUGUGACCGGAUGUCAUAAUCUCCCUCUCAAAGCAAGAGACAACAGCUAUGAAAUCAUAAAACACCAGCCCACGACAAGCUAAAGAAGACUGCCCCCAUCGGUGUUCUGUGUGCCAUGGUCAGCGCAGGUACUA